rnacentral:rRNA from 1 species
GACGGACGCUGGCGGCGUGCCUAAUACAUGCAAGUAGAACGCACAGUUUAUACCGUAGCUUGCUACACCAUAGACUGUGAGUUGCGAACGGGUGAGUAACGCGUAGGUAACCUGCCUGGUAGCGGGGGAUAACUAUUGGAAACGAUAGCUAAUACCGCAUAAUAUUAAUUAUUGCAUGAUAAUUAAUUGAAAGGUGCAAUUGCACCACUACCAGAUGGACCUGCGUUGUAUUAGCUAGUAGGUGAGGUAACGGCUCACCUAGGCGACGAUACAUAGCCGACCUGAGAGGGUGAUCGGCCACACUGGGACUGAGACACGGCCCAGACUCCUACGGGAGGGAGCAGUAGGGAAACUUCGGCAAUGGACGAAAGUCUGACCGAGCAACGCCGCGUGAGGGAAGAAGGGUUUCGGAUCGUAAAGCUCUGUUGUAAGGGAAGAACGGGUGUGAGAGUGGAAAGUUCACACUGUGACGGUAUCUUACCAGAAAGGGACGGCUAACUACGUG